rnacentral:tRNA from 2 species
AAUGAUGAGCCUGAUUAAAGGACUAUCGUGAUAGGAUAAAACAUGUAGUAAUACUACCUUCAUUA